CUCCCUUGAUGCUUUGCUAGCAUUAUGGCCCUAAGAGCAUUAUGGGAGCUGUAGUCCAAAACAUCUGGAAGGCCACAGAUUGCCCACCUCUAUUUUAGAUUAAUCUCCUUUAUUCCAGCCUAAAUGUGUAACCUUGUGUCCUAUGUAUAGCCCUGUUUAUGAAUAGAUUUCCAGAUAAUGGUUUGUCCUGGCCCCGAAUAUAUUUAUAUAAUGUUAUCAUAUCCCCUCAGUCUGUAUGUAUUUACUGUGUGUGUGUAUAUUCAGCAGACUGUGUGUGUGAAUUCAACAGUCUGUGUUUGUGUGUAUGUAUUCAGCAGACUGUGUGUUGUGUAUGUAUUCAGCAGACUGUGUGUAUGUAUUCAACAGACUGUGUCUACUCAGCAGUCUCUCUGUGUGUACUCAGCAUUCUGUGUGUGUGUAUUCAGCAGUCUGUCUGUAUGUGUAUUUAGCAGUGUGUAUUUAGCCAUGUGUAUUUACCAGUGUGUAUUUAGCAGUGUAUGUAUUCAGCAGUUUGUGUGUAUUCAGCAGUGUGUUUAUUCAGCAGCCUGUGUGUGUGUGUAUUCAGCAGACUGUGUGUACGUAUUCAGCAGUCUGUUUGUAUGUUUGUGUGUGUGUGUGUGUAUUCAGCGGACGAUGUGCGUGUAUUCAGCGCACUGUGUGCGUGUAUUCAGCGGACUGUGUGCGUGUAUUUAGUAGUCUGUGUGUGUGUUGGUGUGUGUAUGCAUUCAGCAGUCAGUGUGUGAAUGUGUUCAGCAGUCGGUGUGUGAAUGUGUUCAGCAGUCUGUGUGCAUGUAUUGUAUGUAUGGCAUUUGUUGGAGAUACUAAUAAAUAUAAGCUUAAUU